rnacentral:tRNA from 1 species
GUGAGUAUAGCUCAGUGGUAGAGUGCAUGCUUAGCAUGUGCAAAGUUCUGGGUUCAAGGCCCAGUACCUCCA